UUACAAUUUUCAUCUUAACGCUAACUAAUUAUAAUUGAAAUGUUUACGUUUCUUCGGUAGACGUAUACAACAGAUGUGUCAUCUUAUUCUCGUGCCUCGAAUUCAGGUCACGCGCAUAAGUCGUGCACCAUAUGUUCCAGAGCAUCUAAUCCGUCUAUAUGAAUCUCGUGUUGCAGUUAUUCCGUUUUAUUAUAGUGAAGAAGUAGGAAGGAGAGGGAAAUAUUUGAAAAGUCGGGCGCAGAAUUAUAAGGGUUGGAAAGUUUCGAUGGAAACGAGGACGGCGAGUCACGUGCGAGCGAUCUGUCUCUCCGGGACAUUUAUAGAAACGAGGGACGUGCGAUGACGUGAUUUGGCGAGAAUGAAAUAAAAUAA